UACGUAGGGUGCAAGCGUUAAUCGGAAUUACUGGGCGUAAAGCGCACGUAGGCGGAUUGGAAAGUUGGGGGUGAAAUCCCAGGGCUCAACCCUGGAACUGCCUCCAAAACUCCCAGUCUGGAGGUCGAGAGAGGCGAGUGGAAUUCCGAGUGUAGAGGUGAAAUUCGUAGAUAUUCGGAGGAACACCAGUGGCGAAGGCGGCUCGCUGGCUCGAUACUGACGCUGAGGUGCGAAAGCGUGGGGAGCAAACAGG
rnacentral:rRNA from 1 species